rnacentral:lncRNA from 1 species
AAUUCUUUGUCUUCCCAGCAAAAUUCCCACCCAUUUUUUUUCAUUUCUCAUCCUAAACCUUUUGUUAUACUAUCCGUUUAACACAAAUGAAUGUUCACUUUUCUAGAUAGUAAAAACUUACUAAAUAAAAAAUAUAUAUGCCAAACAAAAUAAAGAAUGCAAUCCAUAGCUUCAGUCUUUGGAAGCUUCUGCACUGGCCCACCUUCUAAUGGCUAUUUUUUAAAGGAGAAAAAACAAGUCAUACAAGAGGGGCUUGCUCUGAUGGUAAGCAACCCC